UAUGUGCGAAUCCAUCUGGACAUAAUUACAAUUAAUAACUGAUUCAUAUUUUCAUAACUUUCUUGAGUUUCUACUCAUUUUCAUCUUGAACAUCUGAAAAAAUUUACAUUGAAAUAACGCAUCUCAAUAUCUGAACAAAUAUUGAUUAAACAUUGAACCUGGCACCACUGGAGCAAACGGCCCUUUCAUUUGUUUUGCUACCCCGUGAAAUUUUUUUAACAAUCACCGCGGAAAUUCGAUCCUUCGUGCUGAACCAGGUGCAAUCAGCCCGCCGGGCCAUUGGAAUGUAAAAGAAUGCCAAACCCCCAAACCAUCUUUUUUUGUACCAGGUUAUGCUUCCGGAACUCCCGCGAUUUUACUCCGAGCUAUGGUUUGCCUCAUAUGAUUGAAUUUUGGGACUUUUCGGACACAUUAUGCGUGGUGGAAAUAGAUUACUCUUCAAUUCGACGAUUUCAUCGAUGUCGACGGAAAGCUCAAUAAUCCGGAUGGCACCGGAAGGUUCUACAGGGCAUGCAGUUUCCUAUAGGAAGAAGCAGAACAAAAAAGAAAAGCUGGGACGAGCAAUAAGUUGGUGAUAAUAAAAUAUUAAUUCAUUCAAUAAAAUGGUGAAAUUUCAAA